rnacentral:rRNA from 1 species
CCGAUGGNGAAGGCAGCCCCCUGGGAUAAUACUGACGUUCAUGCUCGAAAGCGUGGGUAGCAAACAGGAUUAGAUACCCUGGUAGUCCACGCCCUAAACGAUGUCGAUUAGCUGUUGGGCAGCUUGACUGCUUAGUAGCGUAGCUAACGCGUGAAAUCGACCGCCUGGGGAGUACGGUCGCAAGAUUAAAACUCAAAGGAAUUGACGGGGACCCGCACAAGCGGUGGAUGAUGUGGAUUAAUUCGAUGCAACGCGAAGAACCUUACCUGGUCUUGACAUGUACGGAACCUUCCAGAGACGGAAGGGUGCCUUCGGGAGCCGUACCACAGGUGCUGCAUGGCUGUCGUCAGCUCGUGUCGUGAGAUGUUGGGUUAAGUCCCGCAACGAGCGCAACCCUUGUCAUUAGUUGCCAUCAUUCAGUUGGGCACUCUAAUGAGACUGCCGGUGACAAACCGGAGGAAGGUGGGGAUGACGUCAAGUCCUCAUGGCCCUUAUGACCAGGGCUUCACACGUCAUACAAUGGUCGGUACAAAGGGUAGCCAAGCCGCGAGGCGGAGCCAAUCUCAUAAAACCGAUCGUAGUCCGGAUUGCACUCUGCAACUCGAGUGCAUGAAGUCGGAAUC